ensembl:lncRNA
AGACCACGUGUCAAAUUUUCUGGUGAGACAGACUAAGGACCACAAACUCACACAACUGUUGUACAGUGCUCAUGCUAUCGGGCUUUGCCUUUGCAGGGCUGCUGCACUGAGCCUUCAGUGUUGUCUUGUUCAUCGCAGAAAAGAAGGAGAGAUCCAAUGCUAAACUAACUUUUCUCAGUGAAUCCAUUCAGCUGAACCCGUGACCCAGGAGAACACUGCCAUGAGAUUUGACCUGGAGAAUCUGGGACAUGCAUGAACAAUGUCCCACUCUCACUGCAGAUGACAGCUCAUUCUAGAGGAACAGUACAGGGCUGCUUUUUGUGUUUUGAUUUGAAUUAGAAAACCAUCCACCCCUUGCCAGAUCCAUGGAUAGAGGUCUUCCCAUCACAGAAGACUAUGGCAAGGGAAGAUCCCAUCCUUCCUUACCUUUUCUUUCUCCGAAGUUCAAUGGAUGUAUGCCACUAAUUCUCCCAAAACAACUCUACAUUUCCUGGGCUGAAGACACUGAGUAACUGAAUUGUUCCCAAGAUUUAAAGAGCAUCAUGAUCUUCUCUGUUGGAUCUUUCCAGGGCUUUUUACUGACUUCUCAAGGAAGAAGAUCCAUGAUCAUUGUACUUCCUAGGGUCUGCUUUUAGUCAGGACAUUUUACUAACUCCUGUUCUAGUCACCCACAAAGCAAAUCUGCAGAACUAGAGGAAAAAGAUGCCCUGGGAGUAAGGAAGGCUGCCCUGAGAUGCCUGCAGGCGGAGCUGGGAAUUCCCCAGG